rnacentral:rRNA from 1 species
GAUGAACGCUGGCGGCGUGCCUAAUACAUGCAAGUCGGGCGAACAGACGAGGAGCUUGCUCCUCUGACGUUAGCGGCGGACGGGUGAGUAACACGUGGAUAACCUACCUAUAAGACUGGGAUAACUUCGGGAAACCGGAGCUAAUACCGGAUAAUAUAUUGAACCGCAUGGUUCAAUAGUGAAAGACGGUUUUGCUGUUACUAAUAGAUGGAUCCGCGCCGCAUUAGCUAGUUGGUAAGGUAACGGCUUACCAAGGCAACGAUGCGUAGCCGACCUGAGAGGGUGAUCGGCCACACUGGAACUGAGACACGGUCCAGACUCCUACGGGAGGCAGCAGUAGGGAAUCUUCCGCAAUGGGCGAAAGCUUGACGGAGCAACACCGCGUGAGUGAUGAAGGUCUUCGGAUCGUAAAACUCUGUUAUUAGGAAAGAACAAAUGUGUAAGUAACUAUGCACGUCUUGACGGUACCUAAUCAGAAAGCCACGGCUAACUACGUG